rnacentral:rRNA from 1 species
AUUGAACGCUGGCGGCAUGCCUAACACAUGCAAGUCGAGCGGAUGAAGGGUGCUUGCUCCUGGAUUCAGCGGCGGACGGGUGUGUAAUGCCUAUGAAUCUGCCUGCUAGUGGGUUAUAACGUCCGGAAACGGGCGCUAAUACUGCAUACGUCCUGAGGGUGCACGUGGGGGAUCUUCGGACCUCACGCUAUCAUAUGAGCCUAGGUCGGAUUAGCUAGUUGGUGGGUUAAAGGCCUACCAAGCCGACGAUCCGUAACUGGUCUGAGAGGAUGAUCAGUCACACUGGAACUGAGACACGGUCCAGACUCCUACGGGAGGCAGCAGUGGGGAAUAUUGGACAGUGGGCGAAAGCAUGAUCCAGCCAUGCCGAGUGUGUGAAGAAGGUCUUCGGAUUGUAAAGCACUUUAAGUUGGGAGGAAGGGCAGUAAGUUAAUACCUUGCUGUUUUGACGUUACCAACAGAAUAAGCACCGGCUAACUUCGUG